AAAGUUCUUCAGCAGUCUGAAAUAUUCCAUAAGCUCUAUAAACCAUUUUUUAAAGAAAACAUUUACACAUGCAUUAAGCAUAAAAAUCUUUUGAAAGUACAGGAGUAAAGUACUGGAACUCAAGUACUAGCAGCUGCAUCAUGAAAUACAUAAAGCUGAUGAGUGAUCUCUGUUGGGUUAGCUGAUUAAAGGCUCACCUCAGCACACACCAUGGAGCCCAGAGGCACAGCGGCAGCUGGGGGGAACCCCAAAAACCCAGUCAGAGGAACGAGCCUCCAGUCCAGCCACAUGGACUGGGAGUGAGACCCACCACCAUGAGUCAACAGGAGAGGCUUUCUAGAGCACCUUGCAGACUGAGGGUGGAUACAGCCUGGAGGGCUUUCUCUGUGUACAUAUAUAUGCGUGGAGGUCUACCUGCCAGCAGCUGGAGUUGGACCACAGAUGACAGGGGCUGUGGGCUCAGGGUGCCAGCAAUUGGAAAGACUGGAGUGCAUCUUAUGUGGGCUUAGCCCACAUUUUAUCUGGGAUACAGUGGCUGGUACAGACCGUGGCUGUCUACAAGGGUAAGUGUUCUCUGUGAUGGACCUUAGUCAUGGGUACCUCAGUCAUCCAGACAAGACCACGGGCCCCUGUGAGUGCACAUCCCAGGCCCCUCCUGACCUACAGCCUUGGGGGCAUGUUUGGAGACACGCAGCAGGGGCUCAAGAUCUGGUCAGCUGUGUCUAUACAUCUAUAUACUGCAGGCACGUUCUGGGGUGGACUUACUCACCAGUGUAUGCACAGCACAUACAGCAUGUAACAGUCUGUCAGACACUGGCAUUGCUUCUCAUUGCUUUUUGGAAAAGGAAAAGCACUGGUUUACUGCUUUCAAAUGUCAAGGUGAAGUUGUGUUGGCUCUGCUUAGAAACAGCAUGUCCUCUUAAGUCUGUGUGCUUGGUUGUGUAGAGAUAAAAAGAGCCACAGCUUGGCCUAAGUGAUUAGCUCUGCAGUAUAAAUGGAUAGACAAGAUAGCAAGCAGUAGAAUCACUAUGGGAUCUGGAGGGCAAUUGCCCAUGGACACUGGUAUUUCAAGGAAGUAUUUUAGAAAGUAUUGUAUCUAAUUAAGCCUGAUUUAAGAGAUUUUUUUCUUCUUCUUCUAGUUACACUCACUGCACAAUAUUAAUUAUGGUUGACUGGCAAGGUGAAAAAAAGGCCGUUUUUCAUAUUCUAUAAGUUUCUGCAUGUCAGAUAUACUUAACUAACGAAAUCUGUGAGUACACGAGCUAUUGGUAGCUAAUAAAAAUCAGGAGUUCAGACAUACAAGCAAGCCUUUCAUUGCAUGAAGCAGAGACAGCAUAUGUUUGUUGGCUUGAUUUUGUUCCUGUUUGAGAAGGAUUGCAGCAUGAAAAGUAACACUACCCACUUGCACUCUGAAUCAGAGAGAGUGUGAAUACAUGCUUUUUGACUGUUUGUCUGAAUGAUGCAAAUAAAGAAGCUUUCAGAUAACAUCUGGACGUUAGGGUGCUGGUGAUGGCACAUACUGAUGGCGGAGUGCAUGAGACAAAACCUAGAAUGGGGAGCUGUAAUGCUGCAAUGAAUAAUACAGAAAGCAGGAUUUCCUUAUUAGUCAUUCAGGAGAUGUCUAAAAUUGCCAGAAAGUACCAUAGUCUCAGGAACAGUGAAACUUUCUGUCUAAGGCAAUGCUAUAAAAGACUGAAAAGUGGGUUGUCUAAUUACUGUAGCCCAGAAGCUGAACUAGUAGGGAACUGUGGAGUACAGCUGAUAAGCGGCUAAUUAAUAAACUAGAGACAUCUUGCUCGUUAGUCCCUCAAAGCUCUGCCGAAGAGAUCUGUGAUGUCUUAAAAGGAGGAUAUGCAGAUUGUGAAAUGUCUGAAUGCCUGGCAUGGAGAAAUGAAGUGUGAAAGGAACUAAUGAUGCUGGUAACAUUUGGAGUGUGAGUGCACGCUGUCUGUGUGUGUGAGGCGAUUAAGAAACCGCAGCGCCUCAUGGACAGCUGACCGCAGAACGAAUACGCUCUGUCUAUGCAUGGAUGUAGUGUACCCACACAGAUAUAAACCCAGUAAUUGUGAUUUAAGUUACUGAUGUGAUUUCCUUUGCUGGGCUUAAUUAACAACAGCUCGGUGUUACGUUUGCUGCUAGUUAAAAUACAGAUUGAGUAAAGGAAUAUGAGUGACUAAUCACAAAAUGUAUCAAGUGACUGGUGGGAGAUGCAGAUGCUGGAAUAACUGGCAUUGAUAUUGGCUAUUAAUACACUACAUGGGUGUUUGGGGGAUAUCUAGGCAGGGUUCUGCCUGGGGACAUGUUGGCAGUCACCAGAGGGAAAGACAAAUCCUAGAAGGAAGACUGGGCCAACAACAAUGAUAGGAACAUCCUAGGGAGUGAGGAAACCUGUGCAUCCUCCAUUGAAGUUUACUGAGACCAGCAGUUAACACGCCACCUUAGCUUUCUUUGGGCCAGUGAGCAAACCAAGAGUUAGGUAAACAGCUUGAAUAACAACAGCUAGUAAACUAACUCCAAGUAGAAGGAUAAAUAAAAUUGCUGUACCCCAACUGUGACGUGGCCUGCCCAAGUCUUCGCACUUCUAGCUGAUCAUCAACAGUUUGUCUUGUUCUUAUUAAAACAGUCUCUAGCACUUUGUUUUGGCUUCUUCUAAGAGUACGGCUGUCUUGUUCUUAUUACUGGAUCUUGGCUUUCUUUUGUGUACUUGGACUUUUCCAACAUACAGCUGCAGUCCUCUUUUAUGCUUGCCCUAAAACUUGAGUGACUAGAAAAAAUCCUACCCAUCAAGGUGUCUGAGCACCAUAUUUUUCCAUUAUUUUUCUCAUAAGAUUACAUUCUUCCCUGCUCUAGUAAACUUUCCAAAAGGCACAGGCACUUUCAGUUUGUUUAUUUGAAAACUUAAGCCACACUAUAAAUGGAAUAUUGCUGGCCAAAGUUGAGCUCCACUUCAUUCUGUCUUCUCUCACAGCUUCUCAGGAACUUACACUGCUGAUGCCAGAUUAGUUGCAGGGCUCUGGGUAUUACUGCUGCUAGCCACAAAACCUGUAGUCCCUUCCCUGUGCCGCCUCUGGCAUCCCACAAUGAUUCCUGAUUGUUACGGUUUGGGGUUUUUUUCCUCACCUGCCAAGUACUGCAAGUAUGAGGUUUUGGAAAAGAGUAGUUUAACUCUGAGGCUAGCAUCUGAGCUACUUUGACUCUAUGCUUAAGGUGUUAACCAUCUUUGAUAUCUUUCUGAUAGUCCCUCUUUAGUAUAAGGUUUAUAAUCCUGAUUUAUACCCAGUUCUGAUUUUCAAUAUGAAUUUAAAAGUUAGUGACCUGGAC